rnacentral:rRNA from 1 species
CUACGGGUUGCAGCAGUAAGGAAUAUUGGGCAAUGGGGGGAACCCUGACCCAGCCAUGCCGCGUGGAGGAAGGAGGCCCUACGGGUCGUAAACUCCUUUUGGCGGAGGAUAGCCCCGGCCUUGCGAGGCCGGCCGAAGGUAUCCGCCGAAUAAGCAUCGGCUAACUCCGUGCCAGCAGCCGCGGGUAAUACGGAGGAUGCGAGCGUUAUCCGGAUUCAUUGGGUUUAAAGGGUGCGCAGGCGGUUCGUCAAGUCAGCGGUGAAAGGCAGGGGCUCAACCCCGGCAGUGCCAUUGAUACUGACGGACUGGAAUGCGGUCGAGGCGGGCGGAAUGUGACGUGUAGCGGUGAAAUGCAUAGAUAUGUCACAGAACGCCGAUAGCGAAGGCAGCUCGCCAGGCCUGCAUUGACGCUCGGGCACGAAAGCGUGGGGAUCAAACAGGAUUAGAUACCCUGGUAGUC